rnacentral:rRNA from 1 species
GACGAACCGUGCGAACGUUGUUCGGAAUCACUGGGCUUAAAGGGCGCGUAGGCGGCUUGCCAAGUCCGGGGUGAAAUCCUUCAGCUUAACUGGAGAAGUGCCUUGGAUACUGGCGAGCUCGAGUGAGGUAGGGGCCGUUGGAACUUCCGGUGGAGCGGUGAAAUGCGUUGAUAUCGGAAGGAACGCCGGUGGCGAAAGCGAACGGCUGGACCUCUUCUGACGCUGAGGCGCGAAAGCUAGGGGAGCGAACGGG